ACAUCAUGAUGAUGGUGGUAGUGGUGGUGAUGAUGAUGAUGAUGAUGAUGAUGAUCAUCAUCAUCAUCAUCAUCAUCAUCAUCACCAUCGUCAUCA
rnacentral:pre_miRNA from 1 species